rnacentral:rRNA from 1 species
CAGCCGCCGCGGUAAUACCAGCUCCCCGACUGGUCGGGAUGAUUAUUGGGCCUAAAGCGUCCGUAGCUGGUUCUUUGGGUGAUUCGUUAAAUCCAGCGGCUCAACCGCUGGACUGCGAAUCAUACUAAAGGGCUAGGGGGCGGGAGAGGCCAAAGGUACUCCGCGGGUAGGGGUAAAAUCCGCUGAUCCGCGGAAGACCAACAGUGGCGAAGGCGUUUGGCCAGAACGCGCCCGACGGUGAGGGACGAAAGCUAGGGGAGCGAACCGGAUUAGAUACCCGGGUAGUCCUAGCCGUAAACGAUGCUCGCUAGGUCUUGGAAGAACUUAGUGUUCUGCCAGGGCCGCAGGGAAGCCGUUAAGCGAGCCGCCUGGGGAGUACGGCUGCAAGGCUGAAACUUAAAGGAAUUGGCGGGGGAGCAC